ACUCCUACGGGGAGGCAGCAGGUGGGAAUAUUGCACGAAUGGGCGCAAGCCUGAUGCAGCCAUGCCGCGUGAUGUAGCAAGAAUGGGCCUUCGGGUUGAUAAAGCACUUUUCAGUCGUGAGGAAGGUAGUGUAGUUAAUAGCUGCAUUAUUUGACGUUAGCGACAGAAGAAGCACCGGCUAACUCCGUGCCAGCAGCCGCGGUAAUACGGAGGGUGCGAGCGUUAAUCGGAAUUACUGGGCGUAAAGCGCAUGCAGGUGGUUUGUUAAGUCAGAUGUGAAAGCCCGGGGCUCAACCUCGGAAUUGCAUUUGAAACUGGCAGACUAGAGUACUGUAGAGGGGGGUAGAAUUUCAGGUGUAGCGGUGAAAUGCGUAGAGAUCUGAAGGAAUACCGGUGGCGAAGGCGGCCCCCUGGACAGAUACUGACACUCAGAUGCGAAAGCGUGGGGAGCAAACAGGAUUAGAUACCCUGGUAGCUACGAGU
rnacentral:rRNA from 1 species